CCUACGGGGGGCUGCAGUGGGGAAUAUUGGACAAUGGGGGGAACCCUGAUCCAGCCAUGCCGCGUGUGUGAAGAAGGCCCUCGGGUUGUAAAGCACUUUCAGUGAGGAAGAACACCUGGUGGUUAAUACCCAUCAGGAAAGACAUCACUCACAGAAGAAGCACCGGCUAACUCCGUGCCAGCAGCCGCGGUAAUACGGAGGGUGCGAGCGUUAAUCGGAAUUACUGGGCGUAAAGCGCGCGUAGGUGGCUUGAUAAGCCGGUUGUGAAAGCCCCGGGCUCAACCUGGGAACGGCAUCCGGAACUGUCAAGCUAGAGUGCAGGAGAGGAAGGUAGAAUUCCCGGUGUAGCGGUGAAAUGCGUAGAGAUCGGGAGGAAUACCAGUGGCGAAGGCGGCCUUCUGGACUGACACUGACACUGAGGUGCGAAAGCGUGGGUAGCAAACAGGAUUAGAUACCCUAGUAGUC
rnacentral:rRNA from 1 species